UCAAUCGUGGCUAAUGGACCAUGUGAAAGGUUUGCCCUUGCCAACCAUAAAAGAGACCUUGGUUGGUUCCUUGUUGAGGAGAGCAACCAUGGCAUUUAGACUCCAAGCCUACUUCACUAUCCUUGUGCUACUUCUCCUCUUUGAGACAUCUUCAUGUAUGAUGCCUUUGAUUCGAAGUCGUGAAUGUGGAACUCAACAUUCCUACAUGAUGACCAAGUAUGUGCACAUGAGAAGGGCUUUGCAAGAGUUCAUCCUAGAUUAUGAGAAUGGAGGACCAAACCCCAAACAUGACCGAAAGAAAGGCAAGCCAGGUGGAAAGGGUCCCUAGCUUUGAGAUAAAUGCACAGGAGCUUAUGACUGUACCUUCACAAGAACUGAUAGCAGCAAGGUCUAUCAAGGCUUUUCUUUUCAUUUUUUUCCCCCUUUCUUGGAGGUGAUAGCAACAAGUAUUCGGAAAUCUAGUGUCAAAAGUGAUGAAGUUGAUAAUCCAUCAUCCUGAAA